rnacentral:lncRNA from 1 species
UAUUAAUAUGUAUGUACAACAGAAAAAUAAAGUCACUUCUCAAGAUAUGCAUUUGGAUACGUGGUUUAAAAAAUCCUUUCUGAAGUGAAAAGACAACCCAAUCAUAGCAUUUAGGUCAAGAAGUUCUGAAGAAUUAUUUUGUUAUCUAGUUCUUUUAAGAAUUGAAGAAAGUUUCUUCUUUAAAAAAGUCAAAUACGUGAGUAUAAAAAUAAAAUGUUCUUCUCAUUUUGGGUUAUUUUCUUUCUCUCCUUUGCACAUAACCUUCCAGAAACAUGAAAACUUUGUCUCUGGCUUUCGUUUGGAAAGACGGGAGGAUUCAAUCCUGUUUCUCACCCGGUGUGAUGUGAUGCCGCGACCUGAACCCCCAGAUAGAAAGUUUUCUUGGGCUGAUGCUGGCAUUGUCUGCAGGGGCAAAGGAAUAUAUGGGCUGACCUCCUCCUGCUCCCUGGGAUUUUAGAUACCUUUGGAAAUGGAUUUAAAACAAUG